rnacentral:rRNA from 1 species
UACGUAGGGGGCGAGCGUUGUCCGGAGUUACUGGGCGUAAAGGGCAUGCAGGCGGUCCGACACGUUUUGUGUGACAGCGGGUGGCUUAACUACCCGAGGAUACGAAAGACGGUUGGACUUGAGGACUCGAGAGGGACACGGAAUUCCUGGUGUAGCGGUGAAAUGCGCAGAUAUCAGGAAGAACACCCGUGGCGAAGGCGGUUCUCUGGGACGGUACUGACGCUGAGACGCGAAAGCGUGGGGAGCGAACAGG